rnacentral:misc_RNA from 1 species
AACGGUCUAUACCUGCGGUACCUGCGGAGGGAUCAUUACAUGGCGGAGGAGGUGGGCACCUGGUAACCCCCGGGUGUGUUGCCUUCACGCUUUCUACCCUUGUCUAUUUGCACCUUUUGUCGUUCCCUCGGUGGGUCUUGUACCUGCCGACGGCAACUUUCAAAAACCUUCUUGCAGUUAGUAUCUAAUUCUUCUGAUAAAAUAACAAAUCGUUACAACUUUUAACAAUGGAUCUCUAGA